UUUUUAUCCUCUGUGUUACCCUCACUCCUCUGUCAGUUCGUCAUCUACUGUUUUGUUCCUGGUAAUGUAGCUUGGCGUUAUUUGAGUCUGUAUUUCCCUGUUGCCCGCUUACCUGGAUACCUCUCUGCUACCUUGUUCACCCAUCUGUCCCUGACCAACUUCCUAUCUGACCCUGACCCUGAAGACCCUGAGCAGUCCUCUUUCCUGGGGAUUUGCCUAGAGCUUCCGCUUCCCAGCAUCUCGAUCGAUGCCUAGCCUGGCCCCCAGCCAGACCCUGAGUUGGACGUCCCCACCGAUGUCUCUUCUUUUCCUGAGCCAGCUGUCCCAGCCGACGUCAACCCUGUUCCUGAGUUGGCUGAUGUCAAGCCUUCUCCAGGCUCCAGCCUCUGGGUUGUCCUCCUGAGCAGCUCCGCCUGUCUGGCUGAAGUCCCCAGUCCUCCUGCUGUUUCCUGACAUCCCCAGCCCCAUUCCUCUGCACCCUGUCCACCAUCCGUUGGCCCCAACUUCCUCAAGCAUCACAUUGUUAUUUUUCCAUUGUGGAAAUUCUAUUUUUUAAGGACAUCUUAACUUAAGCUGGAAACUAGCUGGACUUUUCAUGUCAAAUUACCUGACAUGUUGGUAAGUAACAAAGUUCAUCGAAAAACAUGGACCACAUCUACUAAUGAAAGGGAAGAACAAGAACAGCUGUAUGACAUCCUUCAGUUUCAUGCUGUUGCAAAUAUUAACAUAUGAGUGUGGUAAUAAACCAUUAAAGGUAACAAUGAUGUAAUGUAAAUCAAAAAUGUAUUUUCCUCAAAAUUUGUCUUUCCUAUGAUUCAAUACAAUGUUGAUGCCUUAGAUAACUGCAAGUGAUAGCAAUAGAAGCAACAGAACUGUUUUUUCAGUUUGUGUGUUUGUUUACUUUUAAUACACAUUAAAACCCAGUAGUGUUGAACUGAAAUGGUUCAAUAUCACA